CAAUAGCGUAUAUUAAAGUUGUUGCAGUUAAAAAGCUCGUAGUUGGAUUUGUGGCGUACGGUGUGUUCCGGGCACUUGUUGUCUGAGUAACCUGCUGUUGCCAUCCUUGGGUGGAACCUGUGUGGCAUUAGGUUGUCGUGCAGGGGACGCCCAUCAUUUACUGUGAAAAAAUUAGAGUGUUCAAAGCAGGCUUAUGCCGUUGAAUAUAUUAGCAUGGAAUAAUGAGAUAGGACUUUUUUGCUAUUUUAUUGGUUUGCGCAAGAAGGUGAUGAUUAAUAGGGACAGUUGGGGGUAUUCGUAUUCCAUUGUCAGAGGUGAAAUUCUUGGAUUUUUGGAAGACGAACUACUGCGAAAGCAUUUACCAAGGAUGUUUUCAUUAA
rnacentral:rRNA from 1 species